UACAGAGGGUGCAAGCGUUAUUCGGAAUUAUUGGGCGUAAAGCGCACGUAGGUGGCUUUGUAAGUCUGAUGUGAAAACCCCGGACUCAAUUCGGGAAGUGCAUUGGAUACUGCUUAGCUGGAGGACAGGAGAGGUGAGUGGAAUUCCUGGUGUAGAGGUGAAAUUCGUAGAUAUCAGGAGGAACACCAGUGGCGAAGGCGGCUCACUGGCUCGAUACUGACGCUGAGGUGCGAAAGCGUGGGGAGCAAACAGG
rnacentral:rRNA from 1 species